UUAAGUUCAGCGGGUAGUCCUACCUGAUUUGAGGUCAGAGUCAAAAAGGUGCACGAUGGCAGGUUCUGAGCGGGCUUGACACAAGCAGGGGACAAGACGAAACUUAUUACGCCUGUCACGGAUGCGAGCGAUCCCACUAAGUCAUUUGAGGCGAGCCGUGUAACCGGCAGACACCCAGGUCCAAGUCCACGCCAGGUCAU
rnacentral:misc_RNA from 1 species